AGAAAUUACCCAAAACUUCAACAGUAAAAUAAAGCUGAUAAUUUGCAGGUCAUGUCAACAGAACAUAAAGAAUAACUGACUUAAGCACACUUUUGGACAGAAGGGAGGUGACUCAAUGGUAGAUUAUUUGCCUAGCAUGCAUGAGGCCCUGGGUUUGAACCCCAACACCAUCAGAAAAGAAAAGAACAUUCAAUGUCACUAAUAGCCAAAGAUCAGAAAUACAGCUUUUCACCAAAAACUUAGGAAGAGAGGAGUUUAAGGCCAUCCAGUGUUGAUGAAGGUGGUGAGAACAGUCCUCAUCACUGCUGUGAGAAUGCAAAUCUGUGCAUUCUGGAAGUAACAGAGGAAUCAAAAAGAGAAGAAAAUGACAAGUUUUGAGAGAAGGAACAUGGCCUGUAUUUUUCUGCAACAUCUGUUGAGUACCUACUUUCUGUCAGAUGUGGUGGUAGGUUUUAAAACAUGAAGAUGACUAAGGUAUGAUCCCUGCUUGUGGGCCGAUAGUAAAAUGGCGUGUAGACAGUAGAAGGCUAGAACUAUCUUGGCACAUGGGACCAGGCUUGCUGUGGACACUGCAAAUGUGAAGCUUUCUGGGAGCUGUUGAGUGAGGAGGUGUAGCUUUGGUCUAAGUAAAGACAGCAAGGCCUGGAUUACAGGGACAAGAAGAUAGAGAGAAGUGACCAAACCCAGAGAAUAGAGCUAGGAGAACCUGCCCGCUGACCUGCUACUGGGUUAAAGAGAGUCAAGGUGCCCUUCCCAUUACUAUUGGUGGUGGGAAGACACCCAAAAGAAAGAACAGGCAUGGGGGCUUGGGAAUGACUGUUGAGCUCAGUUUGGACAAGCUAAUUCAAAGGUGGGCAUCUUUGUCAAGGUGGUCUGCAAGAAGCUAGGUAAAGGGUCUGGGUCUCAACUGGAGAUUUGAGUUGGGACUGAUGGCAGCUGGAGCCCUCGACUUGGGUAAUCUGGCCCUAGCAAGAACAUGCCAGCUGAGAAGAGGGGUCUAAGAACAAGAGCCUCACCGCAGGUAAAUGGUGAGCAAAGCAAAAUGGAAGCUCUGGAGCCUGUGUUGGUAUGGAAACCCAUCAACACGAAUCAUAUCCAAAAGAGCAUAGUCAUGGGUAAGAGGACAGAGUGCCCACCAGAAGUAGGAGGGAGCCACUAGGUCCUCAGUCAGAAGUUUCCUGUAGCAGCAAGCAGCUAAGAAAAGAAUGAUCUGGGGCAGGAGACAAGUUCUAGGCUGGUGCUGGAUGGAAAUUAGACAGGACAGACAUGCAUGGAGAGAUCUGCAGGCCUCUCACCUGAAGUCCUGGUACAGGACAAAGAGGCAAGCUCAAAGGACCGGUGAUCAUGAAGGAAAGUUUUCCUGCCUGCUGGUACUCACAGAAGUGUGGGUGUCUACCAGCAGAGUGGACAGAGAACUGGGGAUGUGCUUCUAGGAUAAAGGGCCGAACUCAAAGGAAGCAGGCCUGAGAGCAACUGGGACUGACUAGAGACAGGCCCGGCAUGGAUCCUGCCCAGGAGACUGCAGGUGAGCCACAGGAGACAAGAGCACAGGGUCCCAGAAGUCAGCAAGGAGCUUCUGGAAGGAUGAGGGGCCACAGGUACAGCACCUGCACAGAGCUCAGGGGGAGGCCAGGGCACAGCUGGGCCACAGCUUUGGAGACCUUUGCCACUCGGGGGACAGCGCUCCAGUCCGGCUCAGAGAACCGGAGGGGCUGCAGGGCCAGGAAGCCACCCUCCCUCUAGGGCCACCCAGGGACAGGGGAAGGCGGGCCCAGCCAGACUUGCAGAGUGGGGACAGGCAGCAGAGGGGCCCCAGAGCAGUGGGAUUAAGUGUCGAGGUGAAAGGAUUAGGCGUGUUGAUGGAAGGAGCAGAAUUCAGUCAUGUUCCCCCAUGAGAACUUGAUCCCCGCGGUUGCAGUUGCGUUCGUUCUCCGGCGCCUCCUCCUCCCCGCGGGUCCUGACUGCAGCUCUAAUUAGCUGUGGCUCUGUCCUGCCUGGUGGCCAGGUCGGGUCUUAUGCAUUCUUUCUGCCUUUGGGCACCUAGCAACAAGGCAGCCAGCGAGGUAGGGGCAGAAUCAUUAUUUUCUGCCUGAACUCUGAUGUCUGGAAUGGAGACUUAAAUAUUUUCUUUUUGCCAAAAAUACAUCUGUGGUAAUUAACAAAUAAGGAAGCAGAAGUCAUGGUUAAACUGUGUGGAUCUCAGGGAAUCCUCCCUGGCUUCAGUGUAUGCCCAGCUCCUCAUAGUUCCAAAGGGUGAUAGCUAUUGUCCUGUUUGGUCAUCACAGCCCCAAGCACCUGCCUGAAGUAAGGUGACCGGCCAACCUUAGCCCUGUUUCACAUGGAAGGAAGCUGAGACUCAGAGAAGUAAGGACAAGGGAGUCCUUUAAGGAAUCUAGAAGGAAGACUUUGAGGUGUAAAGGACAGGACAGGAAGCUUGAGCAAGUUCACGAGCAGAUAAUGACUCCCAGAUGUGGCAAGAGUCCAUUCUUUGGUGGCAAAGGUGGAGUGACGUGAAUACAGCUGCAGUCUCCUCUGCCACCUGAGAUCCUGGUCACCCCCCACCCUACCCUGCCGGAGGCUGAGGUCGCUGCCUUGAUGUCCCAGCUUUGUUUCCUGAGGACCACAGCAUUGAUGUGCUGCUGGGUGCAAACAUGGUGCUUGGAGCUCUGACAGCCAUCAGGAGGGGAAGGAGACUCGGACCACUGUGCUGACUCAUAACUGAGAUCCUGGGACCUCUGACUUCUGGACCGUUCACACUGAAAAUGAAUAAAUGUUGUUGUU